UGAACGCUAGCUACAGGCUUAACACAUGCAAGUCGAGGGGCAGCAUAUCGAAGCUUGCUUGAUAGAUGGCGACCGGCGCACGGGUGAGUAACGCGUAUCCAACCUUCCCAUCACUCAGGGAUAGCCCGCCGAAAGGCGAAUUAAUACCUGAUGGGUCUCCUUCGCGGACAUCUAACGAGGAGUAAAGAUUUAUUGGUGAUGGAUGGGGAUGCGUCUGAUUAGGUAGUAGGCGGGGUAACGGCCCACCUAGCCGACGAUCAGUAGGGGUUCUGAGAGGAAGGUCCCCCACCAUUGGAACUGAGACACGGUCCAAACUCCUACGGGAGGCAGCAGUGAGGAAUAUUGGUCAAUGGACGGAAGUCUGAACCAGCCAAGUAGCGUGCAAGGAUGACGGCCCUAUGGGUUGUAAACUGCUUUUGUGCGGGAAUAAAGUAUGGGACGUGUCCCAUUUUGCAUGUACCGCACGAAUAAGGACCGGCUAAUUCCGUGCCAGCAGCAGC
rnacentral:rRNA from 1 species